CUCAGUGCCUCAGGCUGCUGAACGUUUUCCUUCCCACCAUGCGGCGGCGCCAGCGGACGCUCCCUGACCUCUGUCCAGUUCCUGGGUCGGAUCGACCAGACGAACCGAUCAGGGCUGAUUAUGCAAUGGGAUCUUAAACUGCUUCACCACAAACACCAGAACCGCCCAGAUUCUCCCGCCACCAACCAGACACUUUAUCAGGGCCACCUUGUUACGACCCGAUUGGACUCAAUCGGCCAGAACCUCAGGAUCCACCGCAUCCCAAAGGUUCUCUGCUGGAUGAAGACCUGCCAACUGGAGAGACGUGUGAAGGUCCAGAAAUCAGGUCCGGUUCCGGUCGCCAUCUUCACCGGCAGACCCUCUGCCGUCUGAUUGGCCGACUGACCGUUUGGUCUACAGGUGUACCUAAUAAAGUGGCCAAUGAUUCGG